GACGAACGCUGGCGGCGUGCCUAACACAUGCAAGUCGAGCGAGUGAAUCUCCUUCGGGAGUGAAGCUAGCGGCGGACGGGUGAGUAACACGUGGGCAACCUGCCUCAUAGAGGGGAAUAGCCUUCCGAAAGGAAGAUUAAUACCGCAUAAGAUUGUAGCUUCGCAUGAAGUAGCAAUUAAAGGAGCAAUCCGCUAUGAGAUGGGCCCACGGCGCAUUAGCUAGUUGGUGAGGUAACGGCUCACCAAGGCGACGAUGCGUAGCCGACCUGAGAGGGGGAUCGGCCACCUUGGGUCUGGGACCCGGGCCAGACUCCUACGGGAGGCAGCAGUGGGGAAUAUUGCACAAUGGGGGAAACCCUGAUGCAGCAACGCCGCGUGAGUGAUGACGGCCUUCGGGUUGUAAAGCUCUGUCUUCAGGGACGAUAAUGACGGUACCUGAGGAGGAAGCCACGGCUAACUACGUGCCAGCCGCCGCGGUAAGAC
rnacentral:rRNA from 1 species